rnacentral:rRNA from 2 species
GGAAGGAUCAUUGCCGAGACCCGGACGAGGAAAGACCCGCGAACACGUGAACGCGCUGCGCCGUGGCGGCAAGGCCCGGCCGACCCGCCGCGUCGCCCUCGCCCCUCCCCCCGCCGCAUCCGUCGGCGUGGGGGUGGCCGGCGGAACAGAACCCCGGCGCCCCGGAGGGUGCCAAGGAACAGGAGCGCGGAAGCGGGGGCACCUUCACCGCCCGCCCGUCCCCACUCCGGUGUCGGGAGGGCGGAGGGCAUCGCCACCGUCGAUGCCAGCCUUAUGCGGUACGACUCUCGGCAACGGAUAUCUCGGCUCUCGCAUCGAUGAAGAACGUAGCGAAAUGCGAUACCUGGUGUGAAUUGCAGAAUCCCGCGAACCAUCGAGUCUUUGAACGCAAGUUGCGCCCGAGGCCACCCGGCCGAGGGCACGCCUGCCUGGGCGUCACGCAAAAAGCGACGCUCCACUCCGCCCGGGGCCACGACGAGCUCCGGGGUGGCCGGACGCGGACACUGACCCCCCGCGCCCCCCGGCACGGCGGGUAGAAGAGCGGGCCGUUGGCGGGGCCGGACACGGUGGAUGGUGGACGCGCCUGCGAUCCUGCCACCGUGCCCCUGACCCGAAGGGCCCUCCCUCCCACCGCGCGUCGCGCACCGGCCCCCGGUCGGGGCGGCGCCCCUCGGAUCGCGACCCCAGGUCAGGCGGGGCCACCCGCCGAGCUUAAGCAUAUCAAUAAG